AUUGAACGCUGGCGGCAGGCCUAACACAUGCAAGUCGAGCGGAUGAAGGGAGCUUGCUCCUGGAUUCAGCGGCGGACGGGUGAGUAAUGCCUAGGAAUCUGCCUGGUAGUGGGGGAUAACGUCCGGAAACGGGCGCUAAUACCGCAUACGUCCUGAGGGAGAAAGUGGGGGAUCUUCGGACCUCACGCUAUCAGAUGAGCCUAGGUCGGAUUAGCUAGUUGGUGGGGUAAAGGCCUACCAAGGCGACGAUCCGUAACUGGUGUGAGAGGAUGAUCAUUCACAUUAGAGCGGGAACAGGGACCAUAGUCCUGAGAGAGGCACCAGUGGGGAAUAUUGGGCAGUGGGGGGGAGCAUUGUCCAACCGGGGGACGUGUGUUGAAAAGGUCUUGGGAGUGGAAAGCACUUUUAGUUGGGGGAAAGGGCAGUAAGUUGUUACGUAGCGUUUGUGACGGUACCGGCAAAAUAAGCACCGGCUAACUACGUG
rnacentral:rRNA from 1 species